GAUAUCAGGGGCAAAAGGUCAUAAAUCCGAUGCAAGCUUGCUUGCAGGAAGAUUUAUGACCUUGGAUCUGCCAAAAACAUGAGUAAGAAGCCAUUUUUUGAAGAAAAAUGAGCAAAUUACGAAUGUUUUUAGAAUUGUGGGAGUGCAAAACACGUAGCAAUUCGGU
rnacentral:sRNA from 1 species